rnacentral:rRNA from 2 species
CGGGAGGCAGCAGUAGGGAAUCUUCCACAAUGGACGAAAGUCUGAUGGAGCAACGCCGCGUGAGUGAUGAAGGUUUUCGGAUCGUAAAACUCUGUUGUUAAAGAAGAACAAGUGUUAGAGUAACUGUUAACACUUUGACGGUAUUUAACCAGAAAGCCACGGCUAACUACGUGCCAGCAGCCGCGGUAAUACGUAGGUGGCAAGCGUUGUCCGGAUUUAUUGGGCGUAAAGCGAGCGCAGGCGGUUUUGUAAGUCUGCUGUGAAAGCCCUCAGCUCAACUGAGGAAGUGCAGUGGAAACUACAAAACUUGAGUACAGAAGAGGAAAGUGGAACUCCAUGUGUAGCGGUGAAAUGCGUAGAUAUAUGGAAGAACACCAGUGGCGAAGGCGGCUUUCUGGUCUGUUUACUGACGCUGAGGCUCGAAAGCAUGGGUAGCGAACAGGAUUAGAUACCCUGGUAGUCCAUGCCGUAAACGAUGAAUACUAGGUGUUGGAGGGUUUCCGCCCUUCAGUGCCGCAGCUAACGCAUUAAGUAUUCCGCCUGGGGAGUACGACCGCAAGGUUGAAACUCAAAGGAAUUGACGGGGGCCCGCACAAGUGGUGGAGCAUGUGGUUUAAUUACGAUGCUACGCGAAGAACCUUACCAGCUCUUGACAUCUUCUGCCAACCCAAGAGAUUGGGCGUUCCCUUCGGGGACAGAAUGACAGGUGGUGCAUGGUUGUCGUCAGCUCGUGUCGUGAGAUGUUGGGUUAAGUCCCGCAACGAGCGCAACCCUUAUUAUUAGUUGCCAGCAUUUAGUUGGGCACUCUAGUGAGACUGCCGGUGAUAAACCGGAGGAAGGUGGGGACGACGUCAAAUCAUCAUGCCCCUUAUGAGCUGGGCUACACACGUGCUACAAUGGAUGGUACAACGAGUCGCGAAACCGCGAGGUCAAGCUAAUCUCUUAAAGCCAUUCUCAGUUCGGAUUGCAGGCUGCAACUCGCCUGCAUGAAGUUGGAAUCACUAGUAAUCGUGGAUCAGCAUGCCACGGUGAAUACGUUCCCGGGCCUUGUAC